CCACCAGACUCCUACGGGAGGCAGCAGUGGGGAAUAUUGGGCAAUGGGCGCAAGCCUGACCCAGCAACGCCGCGUGAAGGAAGAAGGCUUUCGGGUUGUAAACUUCUUUUCUCAGGGACGAAGCAAGUGACGGUACCUGAGGAAUAAGCCACGGCUAACUACGUGCCAGCAGCCGCGGUAAUACGUAGGUGGCAAGCGUUAUCCGGAUUUACUGGGUGUAAAGGGCGUGUAGGCGGGACUGCAAGUCAGAUGUGAAAACCACGGGCUCAACCUGUGGCCUGCAUUUGAAACUGUAGUUCUUGAGUACUGGAGAGGCAGACGGAACUCCUAGUGUAGCGGUGAAAUGCGUAGAUAUACGGAGGAACACCAGUGGCGAAGGCGGCCUGCUGGACAUUAACUGACGCUGAGGCGCGAAAGCGUGGGGAGCAAACAGGAUUAGAUACCCGCGUACC
rnacentral:rRNA from 1 species